CUGGUAUACAUGUUUCCCAUUCUUCAUCUUGAUUCAUCCUCAAGAAGUAUCCAUGCUCAGCUGCAAUACCAAGUUUCUCACAAGUUGGAAACCAGUCAGCUAGCGUCUUUCGGCUUCUAGCACUGACGAUGAACACCAUAUUGUUCUUGUCUCUGCACAAAGAUUUGAUGAUUUCAAUGGUUUUAGCACUUGGUUUCUUAUCAAUUGCAUUUUGAGGCAUCAAAGUUCCAUCGUAGUCCAGAAGGAUUGCCCUGGUUGUUGUCCUUUUAUAUGCUGAAACUAUAUGCUCCAUUGAAAGCUUCCUAAAAUUCGGAUCAAGUGCAACAACUCUGAAACUUAAGCCAAAUCCAAUACCCCAACAUCUUCGUCUCACAUGAUCCUUGCAUGUUCUCUCCAAAUCUUGUAAGAAACUGCGAGCCCAGUAUCCAACAUCAUGGGUGCUAACAUAUCUGUAAUGUUUCUCAUGCCUAAGUUGCUUCUCUGGCUCAGGCAUUACUAAAGCAGAGUCCAUUGCGUCGGCAACUACAUCAAUGUUCCAUGGAUUCACUCGGAUUGCUCCGCUCAAAGAGGGAGAACACCCAAUAAACUCAGACACAACUAACAUGCUCUUCUUUGGUGUAGAAGAGUCCAGUUUCAGAACCUUAUCCAGACUCUCAUUUCCUUGACGACUAAUUAUAUACUCGUAUGGUAUAAGGUUCAUGCCAUCCCUGACAGCAGUGACCAGGCAACACUCCGCAACAACAUAAUAAGCAAUCCUUUCAUAAAACUUAAGUGGCUUAUCAAUCAAUAUAACUGGUUGAUAUCCAGGCCUUCCAAAUACUUCAUUAAUUCGCUUCACUGUCGAAUUUGUUUCGUCCUGCACUUCUUGGACAUCCUUUCCUUUGCCUCUAGCAGGAUUGGCUAUCUGCACCAAAACAACCUUCCCCUGCUUCUCUGGGUGCUGCAAUAGAAGUUGUUCCAUUGCCAAUAAUUUC
rnacentral:misc_RNA from 1 species